GAAAUGCAAAUGUUAUUAUAUUAAACUAUAGUGUAGGACAGUAUAUGCGUGAUGUCUUUACAAUGAAGACUAGGGUGAUGAGUGAUUGCGACUAAGGGUGAUUGCUCACUUACACGGUUGCUGUUUACAUCUCAGGCGUCUCACUUCAAGAGGUUUUGGUUGUCCCAAAACCUCUUGAAGGGAGACGCCUGCAGAUCCUUCUGGGGAAAAUCAAAUGACUUCAACCCAAGCCAAGAACAUUUCGGACUCUUACCUACGAAAAAUAUCCCAUCCAACAACCAAACCAGAUUCCCAGGAUCGCCCGUGCACCCCUCCAGUCAAAUGACAUUUCUACAAUUUAUUGUAAGCGUGAGCUUUAGGAAAUCACAAUUAGUUUAUUCAAUUCAAUAAGUCUCGUGACUCUGUCCAAAAAGUUAUUAUCAGUCAUUUCAUACAUCUAAGGAUUAUCUAUCAGAGGACUUCAAGAGCAGCGUCAAAAGUUAAAUUUUUAAGAUUCUAAUACUCAAAGGGUACCUAAACCCUAUUUCUAACGCACCGGUGUAUGUUCGUUCGUCUGUCACCAGACACUUCUUAUGAUCUUAUGAACCGUGAUAGCUAGACAGUCGAUGUAUUUCAAUUACCGCCAUAAAAACAAAUACAAAAAAUAAAAAUCUGGGUUAAGAAAUGCCAACAUCAGACAUUUUAAUGUUCUACCAUAAUAGGAAAUGUAAUUUAAAACCUUGUAGCCCAUUAAUGAUGAGCUCAGAUAUAAUAAGACAAGUCUAAAUCCUCUUGCUAAUGCGCGACGCAAAGGGAAAGAACCACACAAUAAACAAUGACAAAAUAAUUUUACUCAAGGAUAUUCAUACUAUAAGUAUCUGCCAUUGUGACGCCUGAAUAAAAUCUGAUAAUUACUAGAACACUUUGUUUCGAUCACAAUUGUUGCACAUCACUACGGUUCGCAUGACGGGUCUGCAGUAAAACAGUUAUAAAGUAUUAGUACCUUUUUAAUUGUCACCUCCUUAUUACACUUGAGAUAAUCAAAAGGAAACGCGUCGAUAAUACUGGUUCUUAAACAAUUAGUACUUAACGAGCUAUAUAAAAUAAAACGGUACUGCGUCUGCAAUAGUGUUUGCAACGAGUUUCAGUGUAACAGUUACCUGUGCAGUAAAUCAAUAAUGGAUUAUAAGAUUGUCUUCAUCGUGGCGUUGGUGGUGGCGUCAGCAGCAUGCUCGGGCCGGGCCCCGCCGUGUCCCUGUCCAAAAAUAUACGCGCCAUUAUGUGCGCAGGCCGGCGAUGAACAAAGAACCUACAACAGUAUGUGCGAAUAUAACUGCGAAAACAGAUACCUGUCCAACACAGGGGAACCGAUGAGCAUACUUUAUACUGGGUCACGAUGCCAUUAGGAUGAACACGCUAUGUCCUAAGAUUCAAAUAGUUUUAAAGUAACGUCAAAUUUGGAACAAAUAGAGUACACGUAAAGC